UACGUAGGGGGCAAGCGUUGUCCGGAUUUAUUGGGCGUAAAGAGCGUGUAGGCGGCCAGGUAGGUCCGUUGUGAAAACUGGAGGCUUAACCUCCAGCUGUCGAUGGAAACCAUCUGGCUAGAGUCCGGAAGAGGAGAGUGGAAUUCCUGGUGUAGCGGUGAAAUGCGUAGAGAUCCGGAAGAACACCGGAGGCGAAGGCGGCUUGCUGGGCGUGAUCUGACGCUGAGGCGCGAAAGCGUGGGGAGCGAACAGG
rnacentral:rRNA from 1 species